AGUGAACGCUGGCGGUAGGCCUAACACAUGCAAGUCGAACGGCAGCACAGUAAGAGCUCGCCCUUACGGGUGGCGACUGGCGGAUGGGUGAGGAAUACAUCGGAAUCUACUUUUUCGGGGGGGAUAACGUGGGGCAACUUACACUAAUAGCGCAUACGUCCUACGGGUGAAAGCAGGGGAUCUUCGGGCCUUGGACGAUUGAUUGAGCCGAUGUCGGAUUAGCUAGUUGGCGGGGUAAAGGCCUACCAAGGCGACGAUCCGUAGCUGGUCUGAGAGGAUGAUCAGCCACACUGGAACUGAGACACAGUCCAGACUCCUACGGGAGGCAGCAGUGGGGAAUAUUGGACAAUGGGCGAAAGCCUGAUCCAGCCAUACCGCGUGGGUGAAGAAGGUCUUCGGGUUGUAAAGCCCUUUUGUUAGGAAAGAAAAGCAGUAGAUUAAUCCCCCGCUGUUCUGACGGUACCCAAACAAUAAGCACCGGCUAACUUCGUG
rnacentral:rRNA from 1 species